GAUGAACGCUAGCGGCAGGCCUAACACAUGCAAGUCGAGGGGUAGAGGUUGCUUGCAACCUUGAGACCGGCGCACGGGUGCGUAACGCGUAUGCAAUCUGCCUUGUACUGAGGGAUAGCCCAGAGAAAUUUGGAUUAAUACCUCAUAGUAUCUUUUCCCGGCAUCGGGAGAUUAUUAAAGUCCCAACGGUACAAGAUGAGCAUGCGUCCCAUUAGCUAGUUGGUAUGGUAACGGCAUACCAAGGGAAUGAUGGGUAGGGGUCCUGAGAGGGAGAUCCCCCACACUGGUACUGAGACACGGACCAGACUCCUACGGGAGGCAGCAGUGAGGAAUAUUGGUCAAUGGGCGCAAGCCUGAACCAGCCAUGCCGCGUGCAGGAUGAAGCAUCUAUGGUGUGUAAACUGCUUUUAUACGGGAAGAAACACCGGUUCGUGAACCGGCUUGACGGUACCGUAAGAAUAAGGAUCGGCUAACUCCGUGCCAGCCGCCGCGGUAAGAC
rnacentral:rRNA from 1 species